UAGGGAAUCUUCCGCAAUGGGCGAAAGCCUGACGGAGCAACGCCGCGUGAGUGAAGAGGGAUUUCGGUUCGUAAAGCUCUGUUGUUAGGGAAGAAUGAUUGUGUAGUAACUAUACACAGUAGAGACGGUACCUAACCAGAAAGCCACGGCUAACUACGUGCCAGCAGCCGCGGUAAUACGUAGGUGGCAAGCGUUGUCCGGAAUUAUUGGGCGUAAAGCGCGCGCAGGUGGUUUAAUAAGUCUGAUGUGAAAGCCCACGGCUCAACCGUGGAGGGUCAUUGGAAACUGUUAAACUUGAGUGCAGGAGAGAAAAGUGGAAUUCCUAGUGUAGCGGUGAAAUGCGUAGAGAUUAGGAGGAACACCAGUGGCGAAGGCGGCUUUUUGGCCUGUAACUGACACUGAGGCGCGAAAGCGUGGGGAGCAAACAGGAUUAGAUACCCUGGUAGUCCACGCCGUAAACGAUGAGUGCUAAGUGUUGGUCUCAUAAGAGAUCAGUGCUGCAGCUAACGCAUUAAGCACUCCGCCUGGGGAGUACGACCGCAAGGUUG
rnacentral:rRNA from 1 species